UAUUCUGAGAAAUGGGACAACCUUUGACCUAGGUAAUGUUUUAUGGUAUUUGAUCCUUGUGUAAUUUUGUAAUCUCAUUCAGUCUCCCGGAAACGUUGGAUGCAUUGAAAUCAUCUGCACAGCCAAUGUGUUAUACCUUUCGAGAUGCCAGUGGAUUAAUACAAUGAUAUAAAUGAUGACACUUUUCCACACUUGAUCUAAAGCUCAGCACAUUCACGCUUAAUGUUACAGCUAGAUCAAAGUUAACAGAGGCAUUUUCCUCUUGUUCUGAAAGCCCACUUGCAACUGCUGAGUGUGUAACUUCUCUCUGGCCACAACUUUUUGGCAGUCUCAUAUUGAAGGAAGCGCUAUGUUGUUGACCGAUUGCCAUGGAGCCGGAAUUUAUGUGGCAGCCAGAUGAACAGACCCCAAGGCAAAGUCAACCUUGAAGACAGGUACCAAAGCACUUAUCAGACUGUCGGCUCACGUGACAAAAUACAGACAGAGAAAGGCAAAUCACAAAGUUGCCACAACGUCUAGAUCCCUGCACAAAAGAUAAGGCUGUCACCAUGGAGAUCAGUGAGAUCAGCAGGCCUCCCAUUAGACUGAGACUGACUGAAGGAGACAAGGCGGUGAGUGUGCGCUGGUGCAUCUAAGGCCCGUGAGGCAGCCCCUUCCACACACAGUGUGACUCAUGUGAUCCAAGGCUUUGACUAAAAGAAUAAGGAGGACUCCUUUAGGGGGCUUGCUGCCUUCACUAGUUGCUUCCUUGUUGUUGUUUUCCCCCCCGGGAGGCAUAUGGUUUCAUGUCGCUUUGUUUUUAUGUAGGACAGGGAGCGUUUGUUGAUGUUGGAGUUUGGGGAAAGAGUGCUAACUCACUCGCUAAGAUGUUGUUCCAUUUGGGGAAAUAUGGUGGAGAUUCGAGCCGUGACAUUCUGAGAACUAUUUCGGUGACAACAAGCGACUAAACAGAUGAUAUUCCCGUUUCAUUUACUACACACCGGUGAUCCUUACAGUAUACAUAAGUUGUAUACAUUAGUUGAAGGUGUUUAUUUUUCUAGCUUAGAUUUAAUCUGUCAUGGUCUUGUUUCUGUAGAGUUUAUUCUGGAUUUUACUUUUAUUAUAGUAAAAUCAUGUAGACAUUUGGAAAUUACAUUCACUAUUGCCCUUGCUUCAGCUAACUAUCUCUCUCUCUUACAAUAACUUGAAUCCCCAUUCUCCAACAGUAUAGUACAUCUGUUUGGAAAGUUAUCCUCCGAUUGUUGCAAAGUGAUUAAUAUCAAUGGCUUAAAUGUGGAGAGCUCUUCUCAUGAUUACUAAGCACUUUCCUUCUCUGGAUCACUGGACAUGGUCAGUGAAUAGAUAUUUAAACUACUUAGAGUAUUAGCUACAGUUACAAUUGUCAGGAAAGCGGAUUAGAAUUUACUGUGAAGAUUAAAAGCUCGAGUAACCCUUGGUUCUGUUAGCCCCACAACAAAAGCUAUCGCCACCUCAUGCAAAUUUAACGUGUCCCUGCAAGAUACCUGGGGAGUCCAACAGCUUGAGUAUACUGUGUUCUGGGUAUGAAGAUGAUCCCAACAUCAACCAGUUAACCAGAUUUCAAAUGGUCCAAUAAUUUUGAGUGACCUCUUUUAUCGAAAACACAUCUGUAAAAAGUCAUUAUCCUCUUAAUUCAUAUAAUCGAACGCACUGGCAAUGAGGGUACAAUUCUGUGUGCAGCUGAAGUAUUGAAAUCACUAUUUUUCUGUUCUGCAUAAUGUUUCCAUUAAUCUUCCUGAGGACCUUUUUUAUGUUAUUAAAUGGCAGGAUGCCAGUUCAACACUGCGGUUCCUCAGAGGUUGACUCACAUUGCCAGGUGUCGUCUGGCAGAGAUGGAAGUCAGAUAUACUGUGGAUUAUUUUCAAAUAAAUUGAUGUGAGAAUUGUUUAUUAAU